rnacentral:misc_RNA from 1 species
UCCGAUUUAUCAUCGGCAGUCUCGUUAGAGUGCCCAACUGAAUGCUGGCAACUAACAAUAGGGGUUGCGCUCGUUGCGGGACUUAACCCAACAUCUCACGACACGAGCUGACGACGGCCAUGCAACACCUGUACAUACCCGGCCGAACCGAAACAAUCCGUUUCCGGAAAGUAUAAUAUGUAUGUCAAGGGCUGGUAAGGUUCCUCGUGUAUCAUCGAAUUAAACAACAUGCUCCACCGCUUGUGCGGGUCCCCGUCAAUUCCUUUGAGUUUUAAUCUUGCGAUCGUAAUCCCCAGGCGGUGUGCUUAUCGCGUUAGCUUAGCCACCGAACGGAAAACCGUCCGAUAGCGAGCACACAUCGUUUAGGGCGUGGACUAC